GAAAUGCGAUAAGUAAUGUGAAUUGCAGAAUUCAGUGAAUCAUUGAAUCUUUGAACGCAUCUUGCGCUCCUUGGUAUUCCUUGGAGCAUGCCUGUUUGAGUAUCAUGAAAUCUUCAAAGUAAAUCUUUUGUUAACUCAAUUGGUUUCUACUUUGGUAUUGGAGGUCUUUGCAGCUUCACACCUGCUCCUCUUUGUUCAUUAGCUGGAUCUCAGUGUUAUGCUUGGUUCCACUCGGCGUGAUAAGUUAUCUAUCGCUGAGGACACUGUAAAAGGUGGCCAAGGUAAAUGCAGAUGAACCGCUUCUAAUAGUCCAUUGACUUGGACAAUACUUUUAUGAUCUGAUCUCAAAUCAGGUAGGACUACCCGCUGAACUUAAGC
rnacentral:misc_RNA from 1 species